rnacentral:tRNA from 1 species
GGCAACAUGGCCGAGUGGUCUAAGGCGCUGGAAUUAGGCCUUCAAUGCAUAUCCAGUCUUAACGGGCGAGGGUUCGAAUCCCUCUGUUGUCA